GACGAACGCUGGCGGCGUGCCUAAUACAUGCAAGUUGAGCGCUGAAGGUUGGUACUUGUACCAACUGGAUGAGCAGCGAACGGGUGAGUAACGCGUGGGGAAUCUGCCUUUGAGCGGGGGACAACAUUUGGAAACGAAUGCUAAUACCGCAUAAAAACUUUAAACACAAGUUUUAAGUUUGAAAGAUGCAAUUGCAUCACUCAAAGAUGAUCCCGCGUUGUAUUAGCUAGUUGGUGAGGUAAAGGCUCACCAAGGCGAUGAUACAUAGCCGACCUGAGAGGGUGAUCGGCCACAUUGGGACUGAGACACGGCCCAAACGCCUACGGGAGGCAGCAGUAGGGAAGCUUCGGCAAUGGACGAAAGUCUGACCGAGCAACGCCGCGUGAGGGAAGAAGGUUGUCGGAUCGUAAAACUCGGUUGGUAGAGAAGAACGUUGGUGAGAGUGGAAAGCUCAUCAAGUGACGGUAACUACCCAGAAAGGGACGGCUAACUACGUG
rnacentral:rRNA from 1 species